AAAAAAAACGUAAUUUAUCAGUUUCACCCACUGUCUUACAAUUUUAGGUUCCUUUCGUGCCAUUAAUCAUUGGGAUCUCAUUUUGCUGAGCUAAUAUUUUUAGACACCUGCCGUGGCUGCAUCUCCCCCGAAUGGAUGACUACAGAACACGAAACGCGGCCUAUGAAGGCCAUGGGUUGAAACGAAGUACGGAAGAGCGGUCAGAUAAGACUUCACCAUGUUCAGCAAUCUCUCUUGGACCAACGCUUUGUAAUGUGAACGAUGUCUCCUUUCAGCUUUAUCUGGUGUGUGUUCUGAAACCUAAAACUCUGUGAGAGAAAAAUGAUGUAUCACUCAACAUCUCUUGGUAUUGAUGAGUAGCAGCAAUAGCAUGUGUUUGUGUGUUUCUCUCUUUUUUAAAAAAUAUUGUAUUUAUUUAUUUAUUUGACAGGGAGAGCACAAGCAGAGGGAGCAGCAGACACAGGGAGAAGGAGAAGCAGGCUCCCUCGAAGCCCAAGGUGGGACUCGAUCCCAGGACCCUGGGAUCAUGACCCAAGCCGAAGGCAGAUGCUUAACCGAUUGAACUACUCAGGCACCCCCCCCUUUUUCUUUUUUUAAUUGAUGUAGACUCGUAGUUAAAAGGGUGAUUUCUGUUUCUGCCAUAUGAAGAUACCGAGAACUUUUUUAUCCCAAAUUUUUAAAUGAAAUCCAACUUACGUCAUUUCUGCUGAAAUUUAAGACCAACUUUCCUCAUUCUGACUUUUGCAGUAGAAAUGGAAAGAAACUGCCCACUUCCACCUCCUUAGCAUCUCCUCUUAUCCUCCUGCUAAAUGCCAGUGAUGACAUUUGUGGCCUCCACGGAUAGAUCUCACUGAAAUAUAAAUGCCAACAGAGUCCCCUUUGCUAUUUAAUGGGCUCAAGUGAGUUAAGCCUAUUCAUGGUAAUUCAGUUCUGUAGGAUUCUCAUGUAGUUCGUUGCUUUGAGCUUGUUAUUUCCAUAAUGAACAAGAGAUUUAGAACAUCAAAGGAAGAAAGGAAGAUAUGUAAUGUUUUAUUGAGUGUUAUCACCUACUGAAGUAAGUUUGAUUAAAGGAGCAAAAACACUAUUUGCAAAAGUUUGAUCCAGAAUUUAUUCAUAGCCUCGUGAAUGAAUGGCUCUGCUUGUUGAUUGGAAAGACUUAAUUAACAAUAAUUUUUUUUCAGAUGAAGAUCGUGAAUUAUUGAUCUGCCCUCUAUAGCAAGUCUUUCCUAGCACUAGCAACAGUUAGGCCGUUUCAGCUCCUUCUAGCUCCUCCCUAGAGGCAACCUGUCUUCUGCAUAUAGUCGUAUGGACACCAUUGUUUUGUUCCCGCAUCAAAACUAUCCCCAUUCAUUCCUUAACUUUUGGCAACUGCACUGGACCUAAAGAUUCAAGGGAAUGGCACAAAAAUAAGAUAAAAUAAAAAUCC
rnacentral:lncRNA from 12 species